rnacentral:misc_RNA from 1 species
GGACGAUUCUUUUUGUUUACCUCCGAGUACAUUUCCUCUAUCAAUGGUUUCCAGAGGCGAACUCUCGCAUUUAUAAACCAGUUGGACACCUGGCUUCUCGUCAAUCCACUUUGAAUGGCUAGCAAAUGCUUUUCGUUGUCUUUUGGGUACGGGUGAAGAAAGUUUUGGAACAUCCAUGCACGUAGAACCGAGACAGAUUUCUCAGGCAGGCCCCUCUGAGGCCUCCAAGAUUGUUG